AGCAUAUGGAGAUUCCCAGGCUAAGGACUGAAAUGGAGCUACAGCUGCCGGCCACAGCCACAGCCACACAGGAUCCAAGCCGUGUCUGCAACCUACACCACAGUUCACAGCAACAGCGGAUCCUUAACCCAAUGAGCGAGGCCAGGGAUAAAACCCCCAACCUCAUGGUUCCUAGUCAGAUUCGUUUCCACUGCUCCACACAGGAACUCCAAGACAUAAAUAUUUUAAAUUCCUGUCACUCAGAGGGUAAGAAAAAGAUUGCUCUAGGGGUAGAGCUGAGCCAGAUGAAAGCAAAUGCAGGGUGAAAUGGAGGAUGAGAAAAGGAAGAUUAAUUUUACAUUUUUUAAAAGAGAUACAACAACUAAAACUUGAAGCCAACAGGUCCUAUCCAUACAAAUAUUGAAUUUUCAAUAUCAAACGUAGUGAUUUGUGAUUAAACUGGUCAGAGUUUGUCAAAGAAUAUGACUAAUUACAAAACCAAGAGGUAUCUUUUCACACUGAAGCAAAGUACUGAUAGUUUAAACACAAUUUGCAAAACCACCUCGUUUUCUCUCACGCUGCUAUAAUAAGCAAUGUCUUCUCUCGGAAACUCAGUGGCUGGGCUGAAACAGGGCUUAAGGUUCAGACGUUAAAAGUCAAUUUUUAUAUCCAAUACCCUUGCUCAAACGCAGGAGGUGGUGAAGGAGACUUGAUUUCAACCCUCUGCACGUUUGGAACAAAGAGGGAUGAAACACAGUAACAUAGCUAUUUCAAGGAAUGCCUAUAAUUUCAUUGUUGUUAAAGCUGCCAGAUGUCUUAGCUCUAAGACAACACAGCUACUGAGUUAGAACCUGAAGAGAAAAAUGACAAAACCUAACUAUGAAAAAGCCCCCCAAAACAAAGAACAAGCACAAAAUAAAGAACCCCACAAACGCCUCCAUCACGCAUCGCCUUGUAUGGGAAAAUUCUGGGCUUGGUUAAUCCAACAGGCUAAGACAGGCAUUCCCAGAAAAGGGAACUGAGGAUAAUCAAAGAAUAGAAACGACUACAUCCUUUGUCAAAUUGCUCCUGUAGUUAAAUCUGGCGAUCCAGUUAACCUUAAAUAUCAACCUAUGGAUUAUUUUCCAUCCAAUAAAUACCUCAAGGAUAAUAACUGAGUUUCAAGUCUGACCUUCAGAUGGCAAAAUGAAUCAUACUCUGCUACUAAAAAGAAUGCAACAGCUGUCCCCAUAUACCCUGCAGAAAAACUUAAGUGGGAAAAACUCAAAAUAUCUUUCUUCAAAAAGUCUGAGAACAGUUAUGUGCAAAAUCUCAUGCUUUGGCAGCACCUUCCCAGAACACUUGCUAAAAUGACUCCGUGUGUUUCACAAAGCAUCCUCCUCACCCUGAGUUUCUCAGACGUCAGUUCUUUACUUGUUUGCAGGUAUGACUCUGUAUUAUAAGUUUCAGUUUUUAAUUAAAUCUAGAUUAUGAAUAUGAGCUGGCUGUAGCAGUGACAAGGGAAAUAAGCUAAAUAUUAAAAUAACAAGAAGGAAAUACGAAAUCACAUCUGCAGUUCAUUUUGGAAAUUGUUUAGCAGGGCAUGACUGACUUUGGGGGGCAGAGAGUGAUGCCAUCCCCCUAAGAAUCAUCCAUUUACUGGAAGACUCCUCUUUCAGACAAUAUUAAUUAACUCUAAGUAGACAAAAAUGUCUAAGCCAGCUAACAAUUCAAACACACAAACCAGAAGUAAUAACAACAACAUUUUGUACUUGUAAAAAUACUGAUCAAAAGAACAGGGCAACAUGAUAAAGGUUAAGCUUUUCCACUGUGAAGUAUAUAAAUAUUCCUCUAAUGUGUUAAAAUUCAACUUUCCUAAUCAAGUUGGACAUCAUAGGGACAUGUACAAAUGACACAGUAAUCAGCCUAAAGGGAUUCCACUAGCCAAAUCUGGAGCAAUUUUUUUUUGGGGGGGUGUCUUUUUAGGGCUGUACCUGUGGCAUAUGGAUGUUCCCAGGCUAGGGGUGCAAUCAGAGCUACAGCUGCUGGCCUACGACAGAACCACAGCAAUGUCAGAUCCAAGCCUCAUCUGAGACCUAUACCACAGCUCACAGCAAUACCAGAUCCUUAACCCACUGAGCGAGGCCAGGGAUCAAACCUACAAACUCAAGGACCCUAAUAUGGUUUGUUAGCCGCUGAGCCAUGACAGGAACUCCUGGGACAAUCAAUUUGAACACAAAAAUAAUGAGGGUGAAUAAAUACUGGUGGGGACUGGGGGGUACAGCACUUCCUUCUAGCAGAAUGUUGACUAUUACAGAGAAAUAAAUGUAAAGGAAUCACAGAGUUAGAAACCACUGCCAUUUGGCACCCGUCACAGUAAUAUCAGCAAUUAUCAAUGGAUGUUAAAACCUGUGGUUCAAGUUUGAUGAAAAAUAGUGUAUUUACACAGCUGCAAAGUCUCAUCU
rnacentral:lncRNA from 1 species